GGCAAAACAUCCGGGCCCGCCUCGCUGGGCAGGGCAGAGAGCGCUGUUGGCUGAGAGCGAGCGGCGCCGGCGCCGCCACCACCACCAGAAUGCAGGGCCGACGCCGAUGUGUGCCCAAGCUCGGGAGAGGAAGGGUUAAAAUUCCUAGGUCCUCCUUAAGACCUGCAGCUCCCUGGAGAAAGGGAAUAUUUAUUAAACCAGUCUAGAACUUAGACGUAACACCAUUGAUCUGACUGGGCCUCACUUCCAAGUAAAUGGGCAUGGGCUGUAAGUCUGUGGUGUAGGUAUGCCUCAGUUCUGAGGCUGAGUUUCUGCAAUGUUUAUUGGCGGAUCGGGAUCCUCGGAUUACUGCAAAGGUCACCUUAUUCUGUGUAGCCGCUAUGGUUCGCAGAAAGGAACUGUGCGCUGCCAACCAGCCUGACUCCCUUCCACCCUGAUUCUUUUAUGACAUUCCUGGACUAGUUUUUAAUCAGCCCUUGCUGUAAUUUUGCAUUUUAUUGUUAUUCCGAUAUUCAGCUGAUUGUAUUGUAUUUGUAUUGCUGAUCCUCGAUCGUAAUAAAGACAUGUAUGUAUACAUCAGGACAA